AUACGUAGGUGGCGAGCGUUGUCCGGAAUUACUGGGUGUAAAGGGCGUGUAGGCAGGGCGUCAAGUCAGGUGUGAAAUUCCGAGGCUUAACUUCGGGUGUGCAUCUGAAACUGAUGUUCUUGAGUGUCGGAGAGGAAAGUGGAAUUCCCAGUGUAGCGGUGAAAUGCGUAGAGAUUGGGAGGAACACCAGUGGCGAAGGCGGCUUUCUGGACGAUAACUGACGCUGAGGCGCGAAAGCGUGGGUAGCAAACAGGAUUAGAUACCCUGGUAGUCCACGCCGUAAACGAUGGAUACUAGGUGUAGGAGGUAUCGACCCCUUCUGUGCCGGAGUUAACACAAUAAGUACCCCGCCUGGGGAGUACGUGCGCAAGCAUGAA
rnacentral:rRNA from 1 species